CCUACGGGCGGCAGCAGUGGGGAAUAUUGGACAAUGGGGGCAACCCUGAUCCAGCCAUGCCGCGUGUGUGAAGAAGGCCCUCGGGUUGUAAAGCACUUUCAGUGAGGAAGAACGCCUGGUGGUUAAUACCCAUCAGGAAAGACAUCACUCACAGAAGAAGCACCGGCUAACUCCGUGCCAGCAGCCGCGGUAAUACGGAGGGUGCGAGCGUUAAUCGGAAUUACUGGGCGUAAAGCGCGCGUAGGUGGCUUGAUAAGCCGGUUGUGAAAGCCCCGGGCUCAACCUGGGAACGGCAUCCGGAACUGUCAAGCUAGAGUGCAGGAGAGGAAGGUAGAAUUCCCGGUGUAGCGGUGAAAUGCGCAGAGAUCGGGAGGAAGACCAGUGGCGAAGGCGGCCUUCUGGACUGACACUGACACUGAGGUGCGAAAGCGUGGGUAGCAAACAGGAUUAGAGACCCGAGUAGUC
rnacentral:rRNA from 1 species